ensembl:misc_RNA 7SK 7SK RNA
GGAAGUGAGGGCCAUCUGGCUGCAACAUCACUGACCGCCAGGGUUGAUUCUGUUGAUAUAACUGGCUAGGCAGAUGUCCCCUUCCUCCCUCACUGCUCCGUGUGCUUCCCUCCCCAAGAUGUACGCUGGGUCAAAGAGGAUGACCUUCCCCACUAGAAGAGAACUGUUCUUUGGUCAAGGGUAUACAAGUAGCUGUGCUUCCCUGCUAGAACCUCCAAACAACCUGUCAAGGUCCAAUAGCACCAUAGGAUGGAGACCAUGCCUUGAACAGAUGAGCCUUUGGGGGACAUUUCAGAGCCAAAGUCCUC